UUUGGUCUUCGUCAUUCUUUUCGAAUUUCCCACCGCAAAGAUUCUACACCGAGUCCCUCGUUCUCGCAUACGGAACCAGGUGUCGAAAUCUCCCGUCUCUUUCGUCUUUUGCUUCGAAUUGGAUGACUAUCUUCAUUCUUCCGUUGAGAAUUGGUACAAAGCUGGCAGCCUUAUCUUAUCUUUCGGAGGGGGGGGGGGGGCGAGACUUUUGAAUUUUGAUUUUCAAAAAUUUAUCCCGUUUCCCCCUUUCAAAAUAUGCCCUAAUUUCCCCCAUAUAAAAACCUCCCACUUAUUCACUAUUUGAGGUUGAAGAGGAGAGCUGGAAAAUAAAGGGAGGUAGAGAAAAUGAUAGUUUAGAGAGAAAGGAUUUUCUGAGGUCGAGAGUAAAAACUUGAACAAAAAAAAACAUUCUCGAUUAGAAUACAAAAGGAUUUGAAUCUCUUUGAGCUCUGUUUGUUCUUUCAUACAUCUUUGAAGCUCGCUGAAGUUUUCAGAAUUUACAGUGUGGUUGUGGAAGUUCUGAUCGAGUCCGUCGUCUCAGAUCGCUGCUCCGAAAGAGCAUUUUCGAAUCGAGUCAACCUUACUUGUUCGAGUGAAAAGGAGGAAAAGUUACAUGUCCCGAAGUUGAAGCGAUUCAAAAUAGACCUAGAAGUUAAAGAGAUUGGGCCAUAAAAGCCCGCAUUUAUUCUCAAGAUUUUUGUAUUUUGUUAUGCAUAAAUUACCUAUAUACACAUCUUUAUUUUCCAUAAUUUCUAUUAUUCUCUAUCAUUUAAAAAUAUUUUUAAAAUCCCUCUUUUUCCUUUCAAAUUCAUUGUUGCAGAUACAUAAAGUUAUACAUGUUUUUUUUUCUAUUUUUAUUCCUUAUUUCACUCCCUCAACCUCUUCCAAUUUUUACUCACUCUAUCUCUUCCUAUUUUUACUCCCUCAAUCUUACAUCCUUCAUUUUUUAAUUUUCAGAUUUAAUUCUCUAUAUUUUCAAUAAUAUCUCUCCACAAUUUUUUUCAAAACAACUCAAGUUUUCGCUUUAUAAUUUUUUCCAAAGAAUUACCGGAUUCUCCUCCAUUUUCACCUUCACAAUAUGCAUAAGGGAAAGGUAAAAGAUAUGAUGUAUUCAUAUUGUUUCCCGCAAAAAUGUCAGUUUUAGGAGAUCCUUUUUUGCUGGUUAAACUACAUUAUGAAAUGAAAAGAAGUAGUCUCUACCAAAUGUAUCAUUUUAUCAUGUAUCAAGUGUUGCUAUGUAUCUUCAACGGUUAUUCAAAUUUAGAAGAAUAUGUUUCCGUACACAAUAUCAAAUAUAUUCGUGAUACAUUUGUGAGCGAAGAAAUCGAGGAAGGACACAUGCUCGAACU